rnacentral:rRNA from 1 species
GACGAACGCUGGCGGCGUGCUUAACACAUGCAAGUCGAACGGAAAGGCCCUGCUUUUGUGGGGUGCUCGAGUGGCGAACGGGUGAGUAACACGUGAGUAACCUGCCCUUGACUUUGGGAUAACUUCAGGAAACUGGGGCUAAUACCGGAUAGGAGCUCCUGCUGCAUGGUGGGGGUUGGAAAGUUUCGGCGGUUGGGGAUGGAUUCGCGGCUUAUCAGCUUGUUGGUGGGGUAGUGGCUUACCAAGGCUUUGACGGGUAGCCGGCCUGAGAGGGUGACCGGCCACAUUGGGACUGAGAUACGGCCCAGACCCCUACGGGAGGCAGCAGUGGGGAAUAUUGCACAAUGGGCGGAAGCCUGAUGCAGCAACGCCGCGUGCGGGAUGACGGCCUUCGGGUUGUAAACCGCUUUCGCCUGUGACGAAGCGUGAGUGACGGUAAUGGGUAAAGAAGCACCGGCUAACUACGUG